rnacentral:rRNA from 1 species
GACGAACGCUGGCGGCGUGCUUAAUACAUGCAAGUCGGACGAGGUCGCGAACGGGUGAGUAAUACGUGGGUACCCUGCCCUCCUUUUUGGGAUAAGCAUUGGAAACGGGGUCUAAUAAGGAAUUAAGGGGCAUGGGUUCGCGGCCUAUCAGCUUGUUGUUGGUGUGAUGGCCUACCAAGGCGCUGACGGGUAGCCGGCGUGUGAGGGUGACCGGCAACAUUGGGACGGAGAUACGGCCCAGAGUCGUACGAGAGGCAGCAGUGGGGGAUAGUGGACAAUGGGCGAAAGCCAGAUGCAGCGACGCAGCGUGGGGGAUGAAGUCGUUCGGGUUGUAAAUCUCUGUCGCUAGCGAACGGGUAGGUGGAGAAGAAGCGCCGGCUAACUACGUGCCAGCAGCCGCGGUAAUAC